AACGAACGCUGGCGGCAUGCCUUACACAUGCAAGUCGAACGGUAACAGGUUAAGCUGACGAGUGGCGAACGGGUGAGUAAUAUAUCGGAACGUGCCCAGUUGUGGGGAUAACUACUCGAAAGAGUGGCUAAUACCGCAUGAGACCUGAGGGUGAAAGCGGGGGAUCGCAAGACCUCGCGCAAUUGGAGCGGCCGAUAUCAGAUUAGCUAGUUGGUGGGGUAAAAGCCCACCAAGGCAACGAUCUGUAGCUGGUCUGAGAGGACGACCAGCCACACUGGGACUGAGACACGGCCCAGACUCCUACGGGAGGCAGCAGUGGGGAAUUUUGGACAAUGGACGCAAGUCUGAUCCAGCAAUGCCGCGUGCAGGAUGAAGGCC
rnacentral:rRNA from 1 species